rnacentral:lncRNA from 1 species
AAAAUUCUAGAGUCCAAACUUUUACUUUUCCCUUUUUGCUUGCUAGACAGUUGCUUUCACAUAAUUAGCUGUUCUACAGCGUGUCUUAUAGCCCAACGCACCAGCCAAGAUGCAAGAUGACAGACAGAGUCUAGGGGCUUGGCUUAUUUUCAAGGUGUUACAUGUACUCAUGCGAAAAAAAUACAGAACUACAAAAAUGACAGCAAUUAAUAUAACAUAUACAAACAUUAAUUUAUCUAUUUAUUUGGAGAUACAUGUGCCCGAAAAAGACAAUUAGACCUUAACAAACGUGUCGAAAGUCAUCAUCAUUUGUGUAAGAACGUUCUCUAAAUCAAAAUUAGAAAAAUGCGAAGACCCAAGAUAACCUCAAAAAAAUCUAAUACCAGAAAAAACCCUUGGGAUUAUAUAUGUCUCGAUCAAAUAACUCAACGCCAGAUUAAUGUCAAUCAGAUAACACCAAUAUCUAUAUCAAAACUCAACUAGUUCUUUCUUGAUUUACCAAAAACUGUUUAGUUAUUGUUUCUGUUGCAUCCAAUUGAUUCUCUACUUUACUGAGCACAGGCAGGGAAUACAGAUGCAUAUUACAAACUAAUAUCAUAGAAAAGGUAAUUGCAAAUGACAUGACAACAUGGAAA